UACCAGCACCCCGAGUGGUCGUCGCGAUUAUUGGGCCUAAAGCAUCCGUAGCCGGUCAUGCAAGUCUUCCGUUAAAUCCAGCCGCUCAACGGUUGGGCUGCGGAGGAUACUACGUGGCUAGGAGGCGGGAGAGGCAAGCGGUACUCAGUGGGUAGGGGUAAAAUCCUUUGAUCCAUUGAAGACCACCAGUGGCGAAGGCGGCUUGCCAGAACGCGCUCGACGGUGAGGGAUGAAAGCUGGGGGAGCAAACCGG
rnacentral:rRNA from 1 species